ACAGAAGUAGUAUUAUGUUUAUGGCUUCUCUGUGGAUUUGGUUGGGCGAAUUAGAUCUGAAUCUGGGAGAUGAAAGCGAGAGAUUUGGAUGCAAUUUGGUGUAAAUCUCGGUGCGCCCUGAGAUCCAGGGAAUAUGCAUGAUGAAUCCGUCCAUGAACUUCGCUGCGGUUCUUCAGUUGCUAGAUUCUGCAUUGGCAUGUUCUGCAAAUUGUUGCAGUCGAAGAUAGUACAGCAGAUUUGUCUAAACUCUGAACUUCCCUUCAUCAUAUUCUGGAGCUGAUGGACAAUCUCAGAUGCCUCAGUAGCAGGAAACUUGAAUGGCCAUCAUUUUGGGAUCAAUCAAGGAGGAUGGAUGCAUCAUGCAUGUUUCCUUAUGCCAUAGAUAUUUUGUAUCUCUGUAUGUGAGAAAAAGGAAGAUAUUUGUGGCACUAUUAGCUGAAAAGGACUAGAUAGUUUUGAUUGUGUCUCUGCUUUUUCUCUGUUCUCUCAGCAUGAUGCUUCAGGGUUUAGGCUACUGCUGUUGUAGGGUUGCUUUUACCAUAGCUCAUAGCAACUUAAGAAUUACACUUAGGCUAUGUUUAGAUAGCAAAAAUUUUUGGAGGAAGGGUCACAUCGA